rnacentral:rRNA from 1 species
UACGUAGGGGGCUAGCGUUGUCCGGAUUUAUUGGGCGUAAAGAGCGUGUAGGCGGCCAGGUAGGUCCGGUGUGAAAACUCGAGGCUUAACCUCGAGAUGUCAUCGGAAACCAUCUGGCUAGAGUCCGGAAGAGGAAAGUGGAAUUCCUGGUGUAGCGGUGAAAUGCGCAGAUAUCAGGAAGAACACCAAUGGCGAAAGCAGCUUUCUGGGCAUUAACUGACGCUGAGGAGCGAAAGCAUGGGGAGCGAACAGG